CCUACGGGUCGCAGCAGUGGGGAAUAUUGCACAAUGGGCGCAAGCCUGAUGCAGCCAUGCCGCGUGUAUGAAGAAGGCCUUCGGGUUGUAAAGUACUUUUAGCGGGGAGGAAGGCGAUAAGGUUAAUAACCUUGUCGAUUGACGUUACCCGCAGAAGAAGCACCGGCUAACUCCGUGCCAGCAGCCGCGGUAAUACGGAGGGGUGCAAGCGUUAAUCGGAAUUACUCGGCGUAAAGCGCACGCAGGCGGUUGAUUGAGUCAGAUGUGAAAUCCCCGGGCUUAACCCGGGAAUUGCAUCUGAUACUGGUCAGCUAGAGUCUUGUAGAGGGGGGUAGAAUUCCAUGUGUAGCGGUGAAAUGCGUAGAGAUGUGGAGGAAUACCGGUGGCGAAGGCGGCCCCCUGGACAAAGACUGACGCUCAGGUGCGAAAGCGUGGGGAGCAAACAGGAUUAGAUACCCCCGUAGUC
rnacentral:rRNA from 1 species